UACAGAGGUCUCAAGCGUUGUUCGGAUUCAUUGGGCGUAAAGGGCGCGUAGGCGGCGGGGUAAGUCUGGUGUGAAAUCUAGGAGCUCAACUCCUAAACUGCACUGGAUACUGCUCUGCUGGAGGACUGGAGAGGAGACUGGAAUUCACGGUGUAGCAGUGAAAUGCGUAGAUAUCGUGAGGAAGACCAGUGGCGAAGGCGGGUCUCUGGACAGUUCCUGACGCUGAGGCGCGAAGGCCAGGGGAGCAAACGGG
rnacentral:rRNA from 1 species